rnacentral:rRNA from 1 species
UUCGGGUUGUAAACCUCUUUUAGCAGGGGAGAAGCGAGAGUGACGGUACCUGCAGAAAAAGCACCGGCUAACUACGUGCCAGCAGCCGCGGUAAUACGUAGGGUGCAAGCGUUAUCCGGAAUUAUUGGGCGUAAAGAGCUCGUAGGCGGUUUGUCGCGUCUGCUGUGAAAUCCCGAGGCUCAACCUCGGGCCUGCAGUGGGUACGGGCAGACUAGAGUGCGGUAGUGGAGAUUGGAAUUCCUGGUGUAGCGGUGGAAUGCGCAGAUAUCAGGAGGAACACCGAUGGCGAAGGCAGAUCUCUGGGCCGUAACUGACGCUGAGGAGCGAAAGGGUGGGGAGCAAACAGGAUUAGAUACCCUGGUAGUCCAAGGGCGAAA